rnacentral:rRNA from 1 species
ACCUGCCCUAUGAAUAAUUUGUUUUUAAAUGGCUGCGGUACUUUGACCGUGCAAAGGUAGCAUAAUAAUUAGUUUCUUAAUUGGGAACUGGAAUGAAUGGUCGAACGAGAAAAAGACUGUCUCAAUUUAAUUUAAAUUAGAAUUUUAUUUUUAAGUAAAAAAGCUUAAAUAUUCUUAAAAGACGAGAAGACCCUAUAGAGUUUUAUAUUGAUUAUUAUAGUUGAAAGUUAAAGUAUUUUAGAUUUAAUUAUAAUAGUUAAUAUUUGGUUGGGGCGAUUAAAAAAUCUAAUAAACUUUUUUUAGAUUAAACCAUUGAUUUAUGAUUAAGUGAUCCAUAUUUUAUGAUUAAAAGAUU